GGGUUGUGAGGUUAAGCGACUAAGCGUACACGGUGGAUGCCCUGGCAGUCAGAGGCGAUGAAGGACGUGCUAAUCUGCGAUAAGCGUCGGUGAGGUGAUAUGAACCGUUAUAACCGGCGAUUUCCGAAUGGGGAAACCCAGUGUGUUUCGACACACUAUCAUUAACUGAAUCCAUAGGUUAAUGAGGCGAACCGGGGGAACUGAAACAUCUAAGUACCCCGAGGAAAAGAAAUCAACCGAGAUUCCCCCAGUAGCGGCGAGCGAACGGGGAGGAGCCCAGAGCCUGAAUCAGUGUGUGUGUUAGUGGAAGCGUCUGGAAAGGCGCGCGAUACAGGGUGACAGCCCCGUACACAAAAAUGCACAUAUUGUGAGCUCGAUGAGUAGGGCGGGACACGUGGUAUCCUGUCUGAAUAUGGGGGGACCAUCCUCCAAGGCUAAAUACUCCUGACUGACCGAUAGUGAACCAGUACCGUGAGGGAAAGGCGAAAAGAACCCCGGCGAGGGGAGUGAAAAAGAACCUGAAACCGUGUACGUACAAGCAGUGGGAGCCUCUUUAUGGGGUGACUGCGUACCUUUUGUAUAAUGGGUCAGCGACUUAUAUUCUGUAGCAAGGUUAACCGAAUAGGGGAGCCGAAGGGAAACCGAGUCUUAACUGGGCGUUAAGUUGCAGGGUAUAGACCCGAAACCCGGUGAUCUAGCCAUGGGCAGGUUGAAGGUUGGGUAACACUAACUGGAGGACCGAACCGACUAAUGUUGAAAAAUUAGCGGAUGACUUGUGGCUGGGGGUGAAAGGCCAAUCAAACCGGGAGAUAGCUGGUUCUCCCCGAAAGCUAUUUAGGUAGCGCCUCGUGAAUUCAUCUCCGGGGGUAGAGCACUGUUUCGGCAAGGGGGUCAUCCCGACUUACCAACCCGAUGCAAACUGCGAAUACCGGAGAAUGUUAUCACGGGAGACACACGGCGGGUGCUAACGUCCGUCGUGAAGAGGGAAACAACCCAGACCGCCAGCUAAGGUCCCAAAGUCAUGGUUAAGUGGGAAACGAUGUGGGAAGGCCCAGACAGCCAGGAUGUUGGCUUAGAAGCAGCCAUCAUUUAAAGAAAGCGUAAUAGCUCACUGGUCGAGUCGGCCUGCGCGGAAGAUGUAACGGGGCUAAACCAUGCACCGAAGCUGCGGCAGCGACACUAUGUGUUGUUGGGUAGGGGAGCGUUCUGUAAGCCUGUGAAGGUGGCCUGUGAGGGUUGCUGGAGGUAUCAGAAGUGCGAAUGCUGACAUAAGUAACGAUAAAGCGGGUGAAAAGCCCGCUCGCCGGAAGACCAAGGGUUCCUGUCCAACGUUAAUCGGGGCAGGGUGAGUCGACCCCUAAGGCGAGGCCGAAAGGCGUAGUCGAUGGGAAACAGGUUAAUAUUCCUGUACUUGGUGUUACUGCGAAGGGGGGACGGAGAAGGCUAUGUUGGCCGGGCGACGGUUGUCCCGGUUUAAGCGUGUAGGCUGGUUUUCCAGGCAAAUCCGGAAAACCAAGGCUGAGGCGUGAUGACGAGGCACUACGGUGCUGAAGCGACAAAUGCCCUGCUUCCAGGAAAAGCCUCUAAGCAUCAGGUAACAUCAAAUCGUACCCCAAACCGACACAGGUGGUCAGGUAGAGAAUACCAAGGCGCUUGAGAGAACUCGGGUGAAGGAACUAGGCAAAAUGGUGCCGUAACUUCGGGAGAAGGCACGCUGAUAUGUAGGUGAAGCGACUUGCUCGUGGAGCUGAAAUCAGUCGAAGAUACCAGCUGGCUGCAACUGUUUAUUAAAAACACAGCACUGUGCAAACACGAAAGUGGACGUAUACGGUGUGACGCCUGCCCGGUGCCGGAAGGUUAAUUGAUGGGGUUAGCGGUAACGCGAAGCUCUUGAUCGAAGCCCCGGUAAACGGCGGCCGUAACUAUAACGGUCCUAAGGUAGCGAAAUUCCUUGUCGGGUAA
rnacentral:rRNA from 1 species